rnacentral:rRNA from 1 species
CAGAGGGGGCAAGCGUUGUUCGGAAUUACUGGGCGUAAAGGGCGCGUAGGCGGCCUUCUAAGUCGAACGUGAAAUCCCUGGGCUCAACCCAGGAACUGCGUCCGAUACUGGAGGGCUUGAAUCCGGGAGAGGGAUGCGGAAUUCCAGGUGUAGCGGUGAAAUGCGUAGAUAUCUGGAGGAACACCGGUGGCGAAGGCGGCAUCCUGGACCGGUAUUGACGCUGAGGCGCGAAAGCCAGGGGAGCAAACGGGAUUAGAUACCCCGGUAGUCCUGGCCCUAAACGAUGAAUGCUUGGUGUGGCGGGUAUCGAUCCCUGCCGUGCCGAAGCUAACGCAUUAAGCAUUCCGCCUGGGGAGUACGGUCGCAAGGCUG